ensembl:lncRNA
UUGUGAUUUUGGUCUAGAUAAAUGAGCAGUGGCAGAGCAUAUUGUCUGGACAAAAAAAAAAAGUGUCGAUCCAAAUUCUGCUAUCAGGUAAUUGGAUCUGUGCUGUUUAUCCAGACCUGUGUGGGCAGAAGUUCAGGCUGCCUCUUUUGCAGAGAGGGCUGAGAAGAAAGCCUUACUGGUGGAGGACUUUGGAUUUCUGCUUCACUCUGGGCCAAUCUCUGCACACUCAGAUGAAUUUAUUUGCACCAGAGGCAGCAGCUCUCUCCCCUCAGCAACAGCACGUGGCUCUACAGAUGGGCCGCGUGUGUCAAUAUGGACCUAAGUGUGAAGUUUGAAAUGAUUUCCCCUCCUUCUUCCCUGACACAAAGGUCUCCUGGGGAGGAACUGGUUACCGAGUCGAAAAAAAUGUAAGUUUUGUGCAGCAGAGCCUGCUCUCUGAAGAGAGGGAAAGCUUUGUUUCUGGCUUGCGGGAUGGCAGAACAGCAUUUCCAAGCAGAAGAUAGGCCAUCUGCGCUUUCAGGCGCUUCAGCUUAUGUCCCCAGAGCCAGGCUGUGUGCUGGUGAAAAGAAAAUAAAAAGCCCAUGGCAUGUUAAAACUGACAGCCCACAGCCCGGGUGGGUGUAAUGCAGUAGCACACGAGCACAUUUUGGGGUUGUGAUUUGAAGCUGAGUGGUGCCUCUUACUUCCGAAUGGUCCUAAGGGAUGUCUGUGGGGCGAGAUGGCUGUGCUGGUGGCAGUGUGGAGGAACAAAGGCUGGGUGCAUGUUUCUCAGGAGAUGGCAUCAUUGUACGUUUCUGCCAUUGUGGUUUUGGAGAGAGUUUACACCAGUUUGGCUAUUUCCACCAUCAUUUAAUCACAGCAUCUGCAGAAGCGGGACUGCAAAGUCACAGCUGGUUCGGGCAGGCAAAACCUGCCAGGGGUCCUGCAUCACUGCUCUGUGCUAGACCUCAGCCACCAAACCUGGUGCGAUGAUUCCCAAGUGAAAAAUUUUCAACUAGAUUUAGCAGCAGCGGACCAUCCACCGUAUUAUCUUCACUCUGCCAACAGCAGGCUUGAAUCAGCAUGCUGUAAGUUGGUCAAAUGCAACUGAACUCUGUGUCCCCUAAACUGUCCCUGUGAUCUCCAGCCCCCGGGGAUAAGCACUGGGCUAACUAAUUCUGCUUAAAUGUCCAGCUGCAAACCAGCUUGCUUGAACCUUCUAAGAAGAGCUGCUACCUAAACUUGCACUACUGCUAGGAUGAGUGUGUUUGCUUGGAUGGAAGUAGGAGAUAAGCGUAUAAAAGAUAAGAACCAGUAGCAUCUGCGUACUAAAAGACAUUUUAAAGAAAUGCUCAUUUCACAUAAAUUUAUAUGUAAGUCUUCUAAAAAAAAGACACUCUUCUUACAUAAAGAUGAAGACAGCGAUCUUAAGUGCAUUACUGAAAUUAGGGUUAUUAAUUUGAAUAUGUUUCAGAUACCUCUGCUCACUGAAAGCCGUUCAUAGCACUGUUCAGACAAAUGGCUGGUGACUGGUUUUCCACUCAUCUCUUGAAGAUAUCAGUAUCUAGAAGAUUCCUGUGAUCUGUUCAGGUAUGCUGAAACAGGCAAAGAAUUCCUUAAAUUAUGUAAGCUCCAGAAACAUCAAAAACAGUGGUUUAUUUCCUGAUUCAAAGAUGAGUGCAUAUGUGCUGCAUGCACAAUGCAUGAUAUGCUCCAUAUAAACAGUAUUGAGCUCUUAGAAAGUGUUUUGGUGUCCUAAAAGGAUUUUUUUUUUUAAUAAAUAAACAAUUAAAC